AAACUCUUUGUCCCAAGAGGACUGGUGAAGAGGAACAAAAUCCUGUUACUGAAUCCCCCAGGUCAAGCAGAGGAAGAUAAGAAUAGCUGAUGAGUAAUCAAGAAGCCUAGGAGGAUACGAUGUCGUGGAAGAUGAGCCCAAAGACUAUUUCAAGAAGGAGAAAUGAUCAAUGUAUCAAAUACUGCAUAGAGAACCCAAGCAGACCCAAUUUAGGACUCUACAAAACAACCAAAAAUCAAUGCAAAGAGGAAGAAGAUGGAGCCGCCAAUGUAAAUAGCUCAUUGACUGAGAAACGGGAAGUAGCUAGAGUUGCAGCCAUCACUCAUGAGUAUCUGUCACCCUUUUCCUGCCGUGGAAGAGAGUGGCUUGAGAUGCACUGAGCUCAGUUUGCCUUUUAACAUUUAUAAGAGACUUCAGAUGUUUAAGGUAGUUUAAAGUCUGGCAUUCCAUAAAGAAGAAGGAUACUACUGAUCACAGCCACAGAAUUAUUAUUCAUCUUCUUAGUUGAAAAAUAAGUUAUUUCUCUCAGUUUAAAAAAAUGCACUUGGAGGAGUACAAUUACACAGGUACUUUUUAGUUCUACUUUCCAAACACAGUUUUCUAAAUUUUACUUUAGUUUACUACGUUGUAAGAAAACUUAAUGAGAGGAAACCCUGGC
rnacentral:lncRNA from 1 species